AUACGGAGGGUGCGAGCGUUAAUCGGAAUUACUGGGCGUAAAGCGCGCGUAGGCGGCUUGGUCAGUCGGAUGUGAAAGCCCCGGGCUUAACCUGGGAACUGCAUUCGAUACUGCCAGGCUAGAGUAUGGUAGAGGGAAGCGGAAUUUCCGGUGUAGCGGUGAAAUGCGUAGAUAUCGGAAGGAACACCAGUGGCGAAGGCGGCUUCCUGGACCAAUACUGACGCUGAGGUGCGAAAGCGUGGGGAGCAAACAGGAUUAGAUACCCGAGUAGUCC
rnacentral:rRNA from 1 species